AGCGAGCUCACCUUAUGAAAGGUUAUGGACGGUGAGUGACAGCUGACGACCCGAGUCUCUUCAAAGACAGACGAAUACAUCCCUUUUUCUUGAUUCUGGCUGCUUUGACGAAUUGCGUCCAGUUUGUGUUGAUAGCCACUCUUUUAUCUUAACCUUAUAUUAAACAAAGUUGUUCCUGUAAACAUCCACAUGGGGUUAUGAUUCACAUGUUCUCAACGAUUGGGUUAAGCUUGAGAAAGAUCCUAGUGUAUGGAGCAGAGAAGUACUGCAGCGAGACAACAAACUGGAGUUAUUUAUGGUGGGUAGACAAAGUACAUCAUGGCGGCAUAGGACAAUAUGUAAUUUAAUUCUCACCAUUCUUUAUCCUGUACUACAUGUGUUGUUCAUCUUACAGACAUAGACCUUAAUGGCAGGUACCCUCGAAUGAACCAGUCGCUUAAGAAGACAGAUCUCAUCUGGAGAGAUGUCAAAUUCACUUGGAUACUUGCAUUGGAGUUCCAAGUGUUCCCUGUACUGUAUGUAUGCAUGACCCUAUAUUUCCAACAUAAUGACUAUUUAAUCCCAUAUAAAUUCCAUGGUUACGUAAUGUUGUAGGAACCGAUAGUUACCUUGUGUAACGGUCCUCUUAGUCUAUAUAUUUUUUGCAUUCCUAGUUGGACCUUUGGGUUUCCUGGCACGUUUGCGGCUCUCUAAAUAAUCAGUGAUACAAAGUGUUGGUCUGUUUCAUGGAUAACCAGCAGUCAUUGAACUGAAGAUUUAGGCUAAAAUGAAACAUCACGAAUUAAGUCCAUUAGGACUCUUAUUAUUCCUCUGUAAUAAAUUAGUAAUGUAGGGCCAUUGCAGUUUCAGAGGGCUACACUAAAUUUACCUGAUCCAUCGAAGCUCUUUUUUACUCUAAUAGCAGCAUGCAAUUAUCAUACGCAUAUGUUUCAGUUUCUCAUAGGAACAUGCCCAUUAAGCAAGGAAUAGCAAUGUACAUACUAAUCUAACAUGCUUCAUCCAUGAGCAGCCAAGCAGAAUAGAGGUGAAAUCAAUACCUUCAUCAUCAUUAACCUGUAUGGGAUCAUUGAUCCUUGCUCCUUUUAUCCUGCAGCCACCAUUUGAAUUUCAUUAGUAUCUGGAUCAGUCUGAUCACCAUAUAAUUCGGUUGAUAAUUCACUUGCUAGUACAAAUAAAAUAUAAAAUUGAUCUAAAAAUUUCGACUGAUUACAGUUCAGAGCACGUGUAUUUAUCAGAUCACACAAGUGUUCAGCGCAAUACAACCUUUCCAAAUCCACACAUAGCCCAAGGGAGGGAGGGACGGGGAGAGAGAGAGAGAGAGAGAGAGAGAGAGCAAGGUAACUAUUUUGACCUCCCAAAAUUUGUAGAUGAAAGCAUAACUGAAUUUACAUUUCCUAAUGUGGACCAAAAAAAUAUGAGAAUACCAAAAGGAUUACCAGUUCUUCAAUUUUCCAGUUUUUUUAAUAGACUAUGAAAAAAUAUACAAUGAGGAACAAAGAUUUGACUGCAUGCUAUAAAAAAUGAUCCCAAUUGAUCGGUGAAGAGGUGCUAAAAGCUCCAUAUUAAAAAAACAAGAGAAUGCUUGAUCUUAAUUAAUUUGUUCGUUCACAUGGCUGAAAAGUACAGGCGUCAGAGAUAAUUUGCUUAACAACACUUAAAUAGCAAUAGUAUCUUAGCACACCACUAAAUAGUUGUUUUGGAGAAUAAUUAUUCAUGUCAAUGACCUAUUCGUGAACUAAUAUGAAACAAAGGACAUGGUAUGUAUAUAGCUACAAAAUACUCAUGGAUUUGUUCGAAAUGUUCUAUCAAGAGAACCACUGGAAAAAAUUAUCUUAUUUGAUGGGGCUCUCACCAGAAUUUUAUUACCUCAAGCUGAACGGGGCACUCCACCAGGAUUUUAUGACCAUAUCAGGAAAUUCAUGUAAGUUCCAUCUUUACACUAAUGGAAUCAAAUGCCACCACAGAAAUUUGUCUGGUAUUACCCAAUUAGUAGUACUUUACAGAAGUAAAAAGUUCA
rnacentral:lncRNA from 1 species